rnacentral:rRNA from 1 species
UCCUGGCUCAGAACGAACGCUGGCGGCGUGCUUAACACAUGCAAGUCGAGUGCGCGUGCCGUAGCAAUACGGUAUGGCGCACGGCGCACGGGUGCGUAACACGUGGGUAAUCUGCCCUCCGAUGGGGAAUAACCCCGCGAAAGCGGGGCUAAUUCCGCAUAACAUUCCGAGAACUCCGGUUUUUGGACUCAAAGGCGUAAGUCGUCGGAGGUGGAGCCCGCGCACGAUUAGCUAGUUGGUAGGGUAAUGGCCUACCAAGGCUUUGAUCGUUAGCUGGUCUGAGAGGAUGGCCAGCCACACUGGAACUGAGACACGGUCCAGACUCCUACGGGAGGCAGCAGUGGGGAAUCUUGCACAAUGGGCGAAAGCCUGAUGCAGCGACGCCGCGUGGGGGAUGAAGCUUACUCGGAGUGUAAACCCCUUUCGACCCGGUACGAAUACCUCGCAAGAGGGGUGACGGUACGGGUAUAAGAAGCCCCGGGCUAACUACAGUGC